AUGAAAGGGAAGACAGGGCACCUCCAGGUCCUGCUGCAGCACAGAAGACCCAUGAGAGGAAGAGGAGCAGGGGACCACGACUGGGCACUUCCAGCAGCAGGAUCUGAGAGCUGUUGCCGAGGAAGGCCAGCCACGGAGGGAAGGGAACAUCGGGACAGGAAGAGAGCCCGACCCGCUCCCACCCCCAAACCCCCAGACCAGUCCCCAGCCUCACUCCUCUUUCACCUCCAUCUCCACCAAAAGUCACCCCAGGUCACUCUGACUUUCAUCCCUCUGCAUCCCUCCAAUGGACUCAAAUCCCACCCUGGCCCCAGUCCUCCCGGCCCUCCUAUAGGGCCCCCUGGGGCUCCCAGCCUGUGGUGGGCAGACUCCUUUCUAUCUUCCCCUCUGUCGGGAGCAACUGGUCCCACGUGGAUGCCCCUCCUGAAGCCUGUUCAGUUGAAGGCUUUUCUUUUCUCACACCCUGAACACCUUGCAGCUUGGAGGGGAGACAAGAGUCCUUGCUUCCAACUCUUUUUUCCUUCUUUAUUGAAGUUCCUGUGAUCCAUCUACCUUCUCCCCAGCUUGUCGCUAUCUGUUCCUUAAUCCACCUCCCUGAAUCUCAUCCUCACCAGAAACUUCGCCUCCUCUGAAAUCUCUAACUCCAAACGCCACCUUCUGUCCUUCCAACUUGCUUCUCAGGUCCUGCUGUGCCCACACUUCAAGCUCAUUGAGACCUCCUUGUCAGGUACCACUUUCUCACCAGCCGUUAAGCCCUUCCUGACUUGCCCCCCUCGUUUUAGCCCAGCCUGGAUUCUGAUGUCCACCCCUGGCAGUCAGUCCCUCUACCCACCCUUCUCUUCUUUCUGUUGUCAUAACCCAUGAGGCAAAAUCCCAACACUGGAAUCAGUCAGCCAUCCACAUUCCUCAAGCCUGGCACGAGUAGCUGGCCGUGGCUGCAGAGAAUCUCGACGCUGAGCAAGUCACUGGGUACUAAUGCUCACAGACCUCAGUGGGCUUGACUCUGCCCAGCCGUCCUGCUGUGUUUCUCUGGUAGCUUUGCUUUCACUCCCCAAGACAUCUCAUUGCUUCCUCCUCCUCCUCCCGCCUCUCAACCAAUGACCCUACAUGGUUGUGAUUACUUAACUGAGAAACCAUCUGACCUGACUGCCAUUUCCCACCACCAGACCCUAAACUUCCUGCAUCCUGCAUCACACCAUCCUUCCUCCUCCUCUCAGCUUGAGAUUGCGAUGCCUCCAUUUAUACUCCUUGCCUUUCCGAAGAUUGCUGCUUCAGUGAACUAGCCUCUGGGAUCAUCAUUUCUCAGCAGUGGCCACAGGACUGUAAAAGAUCAGUUUUCAUUCCAAUCCCA
rnacentral:lncRNA from 1 species